rnacentral:rRNA from 10 species
CCUAGUGGCCAUACCACCUUGAACACGCCCGAUCUCGUCUGAUCUGAAGUGGGGUUGGGUGGUGGCCAAUAGGU